AAUUAAUGUCCCAACUACAACAAGAUCAAGCAUUCUAGCAUGCUGUUAACCCAACCCAGGUGCGCCCACUAGAAAGAUUAAAAUCUGUAAAAGGAACUCAGCAAACACAAGGCCCGACUGUUUACCAAAAACAUAGCCUCCAGCCUGACAAGUAUUGGAGGUGAUGCCUGCCCAGCGACACUACAUUCAACGGCCGCGGUAUCCUAACCGUGCAAAGGUAGCGCAAUCAAUUGUCCCAUAAAUCGAGACCUGUAUGAAUGGCUAAACGAGGUCUUAACUGUCUCUUACAGAUAAUGAGCGAAAUUGAUCUUCCUGUGCAAAAGCAGGAAUAAAACCAUAAGAUGAGAAGACCCCGUGGAACUUAAAAAUCAAUGGCCACCACGCACCAAACCUAAACCUAUCAGGCACACUACGCCCACAACACUGGCCUAUAAUUUUUCGGUUGGGGCAACCUUGGAGUAAAACACACCCUCCAAAAAUAAGACCACCUAUCUUAACCAAGAACCACCCAUCAACGUGCAAACAGCAACCAGACCCAAUACAGUUGAACAAUGGACCAAGCUACCCCAGGGAUAACAGCACAAUCUCUCCCAAGAGCCCCCAUUGACGGAGAGGUUUACGACCUCGAUGUUGGAUCAGGACAUCCCAAUGGUGCAGCCGCUAUUAAGGGUUCAUUUGUUCAACGAUUAACAGUCCUACGUGAUCUGAGUUCAGACCGGAGUAAUCCAGGUUGGUUUCUGUCUAUCACAAACCCUUCCCAGUACGAAAGGACCGGAAAGGUGGGGCCAAUACUUCCAGGCAUGCCCCCUCUCCCCAAGCAAUGACCUCAACUAAAUUGCUCAAGGGACUACCUACCUCAAACCCCUAAAAAAGGGCCGCUAGUGUAGCAAAGCCUGGCAAAUGCAAAAGGCUUAAGCCCUUUAACUAGAGGUUCAAAUCCUCUCCCUAGCUCCCCACAACUCAACCAUGACCCAACCAACACCUCUAAUACACCUUAUCAUGUUUUCAGCCUAUGCUCUUCCAGUCCUAAUCACCGUAGCCUUCCUAACAUUAGUAGAACGAAAAAUCCUAAGCUAUAUACAAGCCCGAAAGGGCCAAAACAUUGUCGGCCCCUUUGGACUUCUACAGCCCGUAGCAGACGGCGUAAAACUAUUUACCAAAGAACCCAUCCAACCAUCAACCUCCUCCCCCCUGCUCUUCACCCUGACCCCAGUACUAGCCAUCCUUCUUGCAAUCUCCAUCUGAACUCCCCUCCCCCUGCCCUUCUCCCUCGCAGACUUGAAUUUAGGCCUACUAUUCCUUUUAGCCAUAUUAAGCUUAGCAGUAUAUUCAAUCUUGUGAUCAGGCUGAGCUUCAAACUCGAAAUAUGCCCUGAUUGGCGUCCUCCAAGCAGUCGCACAGACCAUCUCAUAUGAAGUGACACUGGCCAUCAUCCUCCUCUCCGUAAUCAUACUAAGCGGAAACUACACCCUAAACACCCUUGCUACCACCCAAGAGCCCUUAUACCUAAUCUUCUCCACCUGACCUCUCACGAUAACAUGAUACAUUUCUACCCUUGCCGAAACCAACCGCGCCCCAUUCGAUCUGACAGAGGGAGAAUCCGAACUGGUUUCGGGCUUCAAUGUAGAAUACGCCGCAGGUCCAUUCGCCUUAUUCUUCCUAGCUGAGUAAGCAAACAUUAUACUAAUAAACGCACUCACCACCAUCCUAUUCAUCAACCCCAGCUCCUUAGGCCUCCCCUUAGAACUAUUCCCAAUAAUCCUCACCACAGAAACCCUCCUCCUCUCCUCUGGCUUCCUCUGAGUCCGCGCCUCGUACCCACGAUUUCGUUAUGACCAACUCAUACACCUUCUCUGAAAAAACUUCCUACCACUAGCAUUAGCCCUAUGUCUCUGACACACUAGCAUACCAAUCUGCUACGCAGGUCUCCCCCCCGCUUAAAAACACACCCACAUAAGGAAAUGUGCCUGAAUGUCUAAGGGUCACUAUGAUAAAGUGAACACAGAGGUCUACCAACCCUCUCAUUUCCUUGCAAAACCUUAGGAAGACAGCAAUUGAACCUGCACAGAAGAGAUCAAAGCCCUCCAUACUCCCCUUAUAUUACUUCCUAGUAGGGUCAGCUAAACAAAAGCUAUCGGGCCCAUACCCCGAAAAUGAUGGUUUAACCCCUUCCUCUACUAAAUGAGCCCCGUCACAAAACUAACGUUCUCCUUAAGCCUUCUACUAGGAACAACCAUCACAAUUUCAAGCAAUCACUGAAUACUAGCCUGGACUGGACUAGAAAUCAGCACCCUUGCCAUUAUCCCCUUCAUUUCAAAAUCACACCACCCUCGAGCUAUCGAAGCUGCAAUCAAAUACUUUCUCGUCCAAGCAACCGCCUCCGCAUUAAUCCUCUUCUCAAGCACAAUCAAUGCACAAUUCACCGGACAAUGAGACAUUCUGCGACUAAGCCACCCAACAGCCUCCCUACUACUAACUACAGCAAUCGCAAUAAAACUAGGCCUAGUACCCUUUCACUUCUGAUGUCCAGAGGUCAUACAAGGCUCACCUAUAACCACUGCCCUACUCCUCUCUACAUUAAUAAAACUCCCCCCCAUCACUAUUCUUUUCUUAACUGCCCCCUCACUGAACCCACUCCUACUGACAACCGUGGCCAUUGCAUCCGCAGCCAUCGGAGGGUGAAUAGGACUUAACCAAACACAAAUCCGAAAAGUCCUAGCUUUCUCAUCAAUCGCCCACCUAGGCUGAAUAACCAUCAUCCUCAUAUACAACCCCAAGCUAACAAUAAUAACCUUCUACCUAUACUCCAUAAUAACCGCCUCCAUUUUCUUAGCCCUCAGCACAACCAACUCCUCAAAACUAUCCACAAUAAUAACCUCCUGAACAAAAAUACCAUCACUAAACGCAUCCUUGAUGCUAGCACUACUAUCCCUAGCCAGCCUACCCCCACUCACUGGCUUUUUACCAAAAUGACUCAUUAUCCAGGAACUAACUAAGCAAGAGAUAUCAACCGCAGCCAUAAUUAUUUCAAUACUCUCCCUACUAGGUUUAUUUUUCUACCUACGCCUUGCAUAUUGCUCCACAAUCACACUCCCACCAAACACUACAAACUUCGUAAAACAAUGAUACAAUAACAAAUCCACAGGCACACCAAUUGCUACCUUAAUUUCCCUGUUAGUCCUCCUUCUCCCCCUUUCUCCCGCGAUCUUGACCAUUACCUAAGAAACUUAGGUUACCCUGCCUACCAAACCGAAGGCCUUCAAAGCCUUAAAUAAGAGUUAAAUCCUCUUAGUUUCUGCCCACACCACUAAGGCCCGCAGGACACUAAACCUGCACCAUCUAAAUGCAACUCAGAUACUCUAAUUCAGCUAGGGCCUCCACGAUAAGCCUAGACAGAUGGGCCUCGAUCCCAUAAACUUCUAAUUAACAGCUAGACGCUCAAACCAACAAGCUUCUGUCUACCGGACUCCGGCACACUCUCAGUGUACAUCAAUGAGUUUGCAACUCAACAUGAACUUCACCACAGAGUCGAUAAGAAGAGGAAUUAAACCUCUGUAAAAAGGACUACAGCCUAACACCUAAACACUCAGCCAUCUUACCCAUGACCUUCAUCAACCGAUUACUAUUUUCAACAAACCACAAAGACAUUGGUACCCUAUACCUACUCUUCAGAGCAUGGGCAGGCAUAGCCGGUACGGUACCGCCCUCAGCCUCCUUAUUCGAGCAGAACUCGGCCAACCAGGAACUCUCCUAGGAGACGAACAAAUCAUCGUCACCACCCAUGCCUUCGUAAUAAUCUUCUUCAUAGUUAUACCCAUUAUAAUCGGAGGGUUUGGAAACUGACUAGUGCCCCUUAUGAUUGGAGCCCCAGACGUAGCAUUCCCCCGCAUAAACAACAUAAGUUUCUGACUACUUCCUCCAUCCUUCCUACUGCUCCUAGCGUCCUCCACAGUAGAAGCUGGAGUCGGAACAGGAUGAACCGUAUACCCGCCCCUAGCAGGCAACCUAGCCCAUGCUGGUGCCUCAGUAGACCUAGCCAUCUUCUCCCUACACCUCGCAGGUGUGUCUUCCAUCUUAGGGGCCAUCAACUUUAUCACAACAGCCAUUAACAUAAACUCCCCUGCCUUAUCGCAAUAUCAAACUCCCCUAUUCGUAUGAUCCGUACUCAUCACCGCCGUACUCCUAUUGCUCUCACUUCCAGUCCUGGCCGCCGGCAUCACCAUACCACUGACCGACCGAAACCUAAACACUACAUUCUUUGACCCCGAUGGAGAAGGAGACCCCAUUCUCUACCAGCACCUGUUCUGAUUCUUUGGCCACCCAGAAGUUUACGUCUUAAUCCUUCCCGGCUUUGGAAUCAUCUCACACGUUGUAACAUAUUACGCAGGCAAAAAAGAACCAUUCGGCUACAUAGGAAUAGUCUGAGCUAUACUAUCGAUUGGAUUCCUCGGCUUUAUCGUAUGAGCCCACCACAUAUUCACUGUCGGAAUAGACGUAGACACCCGAGCAUACUUCACCUCUGCCACUAUAAUCAUCGCCAUCCCAACUGGCAUUCAGGUAUUCAGCUGACUGGCCACACUACACGGAGGCACCAUCAAAUGAGAUCCACCGAUACUGUGAGCCUUGAGCUUCAUCUUCCUCUUCACAAUUGGAGGACUAACAGGUAUUAUACUAGCAAACUCCUCAUUAGACAUUGCCUUACACGACACAUACUAUGUAGUCUCCCACUUUCAUUACGUCCUCUCAACAGGAGCUGUAUUUGCCAUCCUAGCCGGAUUUACCCACUGAUUCCCACUAUUUACCGGAUACACCCUCCACCCCACAUGAUCUAAAACCCACUUCAGAAUUAUAUUCAUCGGCAUAAACCUAACAUUCUUCCCCCAACAUUUCCUAGGUCUAGCCGGCAUACCACGACGUUACUCAGACUACCCUGACGCCUACACCCUAUGAAACACCCUAUCCUCUAUUGGCUCCCUAAUUUCAAUAACAGCCGCAAUCUUACUAAUAUUCAUCAUCUGAGAGGCAUUUGCAGCAAAACGAAAAGUCCUCCAAACAGAAUUAACCGCUACCAACAUCGAGUGAAUCUACGGCUGCCCACCCCCCUAUCACACCUUUGAAGAACCAACCUUCGUCCAAACCCAAGAAAGGAAGGAAUCGAACCCUCACACGCUGGUUUCAAGCCAACUGCAUCAAACCGCUUAUGCUUCUUUCUUAU